rnacentral:rRNA from 1 species
AGUGAAUAGAUACCCUGGUAGUCCCAGCUGUAAACGAUGCGCGUUAGGUGUAUCGGUGACCACGAGUCACCGAGGUGCCGAAGGGAAACCGUGAAACGUGCCGCCUGGGAAGUACGGUCGCAAGGCUGAAACUUAAAGGAAUUGGCGGGGGAGCACCACAACAGGUGGAGCCUGCGGUUUAAUCGGACUCAACGCCGGGAAGCUCACCGGAUAAGACAGCUGAAUGAUAGCCGGGUUGAAGACUCUGCUUGACUAGCUGAGAGGAGGUGCAUGGCCGUCGUCAGUUCGUACUGUGAAGCAUCCUGUUAAGUCAGGCAACGAGCGAGACCCACGCCAACAGUUGCCAGCAUGUCCUCCGGGAUGGUGGGGACACUGUUGGGACCGCCUCUGCUAAAGAGGAGGAAGGAAUGGGCAACGGUAGGUCAGCAUGCCCUGAAUUAUCCGGGCUACACGCGGGCUACAAUGGUCAGGACAAUGGGUAUCAACACCGAAACGGUGAAGGCAAUCUCCUAAA